UGGACCUGAUAUCAGGCAAGAUUACCCGCUGGAA
rnacentral:rRNA from 1 species